AUGCAGCCGGCCAUCAAUGCUUCCCCACUUUGCACUGCGUUUUGGAGAUGUGGAGGAAGGUACAUACUUCCUUGUAGUACGGCUUUUUCUCUCCUUAUAAGCAAGAGGUCUAUCCGUGAAGCCAGGAAUUACAAGCCUACAUUUCAUGAUCAAGUGCUCCUUAUUACCAAGUCCUUUUCCAAUUCUUUUUCCCCAAUAAUUCUGGUAGCUCCAAGAGGACAUGGGACAGGUCUGAUUAUAAUAAAACUGGGUAAGUGCAUAAUGUAAGUAAUUUCACGUUUGUAAAUUGUAUAGAAUUUUUGCAAUACAAAAUCAGAAAUGGAUCAUUUUAACAACGCGGACUUCUCAAACUUAAGGACAUUGUAGGUUAGAAUACAUGCUGCACUGGUGACGACAACAAUGAUGGUGACAAGAAUUCAUACAGCACUUUUAUAUUUCCAAAGCGUGUCACAUAUCUGCUUGCUUUAAAUUCACAAUAGCCUGUAGAUGUUAUCCCCAUUUUACAUAUAGGGAGACUGGGGGUGAGAAAGUUGAAGAGACUUAACAACCUAUGGAGCUGGCACCACAUCUCCUGGCUCCUUGUCAUGCCCCUUCUCCCCUGCCUGUUGCAUUAGUCAUAGCAGGCACCCCUGGCAGAAGAGGAGAGCACCCACCUCCAUGACAGGUGCUUGGGAAGGGCAAUCAGGGACACUGUGAUUUGAAUAAAUAAGUGAAUGCAUGAAUAUAUGACUAAAUG
rnacentral:lncRNA from 1 species